GGCGAACGCUGGCGGCGUGCCUAAUACAUGCAAGUUGAGCGCUGAAGGUUGGUACUUGUACCAACUGGAUGAGCAGCGAACGGGUGAGUAACGCGUGGGGAAUCUGCCUUUGAGCGGGGGACAACAUUUGGAAACGAAUGCUAAUACCGCAUAAAAACUUUAAACACAAGUUUUAAGUUUGAAAGAUGCAAUUGCAUCACUCAAAGAUGAUCCCGCGUUGUAUUAGCUAGUUGGUGAGGUAAAGGCUCACCAAGGCGAUGAUACAUAGCCGACCUGAGAGGGUGAUCGGCCACAUUGGGACUGAGACACGGCCCAAACUCCUACGGGAGGCAGCAGUAGGGAAUCUUCGGCAAUCGACGAAAGUCUGACCGAGCAACGCCGCGUGAGUGAAGAAGGUUUUCGGAUCGUAAAACUCUGUUGGUAGAGAAGAACGUUGGUGAGAGUGGAAAGCUCAUCAAGUGACGGUAACUACACAGAAAGGGACGGCUAACUACGUG
rnacentral:rRNA from 1 species